rnacentral:rRNA from 1 species
GACGAACGCUGGCGGCGUGCUUAACACAUGCAGGUCGAACGGUAAGGCCCUUCGGGGUACACGAGUGGCGAACGGGUGAGUAACACGUGGGUGAUCUGCCCUGCACUUCGGGAUAAGCCUGGGAAACUGGGUCUAAUACCGGAUAGGACCACUGCCUGCAUGGGUGGUGGUGGAAAGCUUUUGCGGUGUGGGAUGGGCCCGCGGCCUAUCAGCUUGUUGGUGGGGUGAUGGCCUAGCAAGGCGACGACGGGUAGCCGGCCUGAGAGGGUGACCGGCAACACUGGGACUGAGAUACGGCCCAGGCUCCUACGGGAGGCAGCAGUGGGGAAUAUUGCACAAUGGGCGCAAGCCUGAUGCAGCGACGCCGCGUGAGGGAUGACGGCCUUCGGGUUGUAAACCUCUUUCAGCACCGACGAAGCGCAAGUGACGGUAGGUGCAGAAGAAGGACCGGCCAACUACGUGCCAGCCGCCGCCGUAACAC